UACAGAGGUCCCAAGCGUUGUUCGGAUUCACUGGGCGUAAAGGGCGCGUAGGCGGCUAGAUGUGUCAAAGGUGAAAUCCCUCGGCUCAACUGAGGAACUGCCUUUGAAACUGUCUGGCUUGAGGCCGGGAGAGGGUAGCGGAAUUCCCAGUGUAGAGGUGAAAUUCGUAGAUAUUCGCAAGAACACCAGUGGCGAAGGCGGCUCACUGGCCCGAUACUGACGCUGAGGCACGAAAGCGUGGGGAGCAAACAGG
rnacentral:rRNA from 1 species